rnacentral:rRNA from 1 species
UACGAAGGGGGCUAGCGUUGUUCGGAAUUACUGGGCGUAAAGCGCGCGCAGGUGGUCGUUCAAGUCAGUGGUGAAAGCCCGGAGCUCAACUCCGGAAAUGCCAUUGAAACUGUAAGACUUGAGGAUGAGAGAGGUGAGUGGAAUUCCCAGUGUAGAGGUGAAAUUCGUAGAUAUUGGGAAGAACACCGGUGGCGAAGGCGGCUCACUGGCUCAUAUCUGACGCUCAGGCGCGACAGCGUGGGGAUCAAACAGG